UGGAUUAGGCAUGCAAGUCGAGCGAGGAAAGUGGUAGCAAUACUAUUUAUUCGAGCGGCGUAAGGGGCAGUAAUACCUGGGAACGUACCCUGAGGUCGGGGAUAGCUGCUGGAAACGGCGAGUAAUACCCGAUGAUCUUGGAAAAGCAAAGGCUUGCCGCCUUGGGAGCGGCCCAGGCGAUAUUAGCUAGUUGGUGAGGUAACGGCUUACCAAGGCAAAGAUGUCUAGCGGGUGUGAGAGCACGACCCGCGCCACUGGCACUGAGACACUGGCCAGACACCUACGGGUGGCUGCAGUCGAGAAUCUUCGGCAAUGAGCGCAAGCUUGACCGAGCGACGCCGCGUGCGGGAUGAAGGCCUUCGGGUUGUAAACCGCUUUGGUCCGAGAGAAAGGGAAACUUGAUCGAUCGGAGAAACAAGGACGGGCUAAGUUCGUGCCAGCAGCCGCGGUA
rnacentral:rRNA from 1 species